rnacentral:misc_RNA from 1 species
UGGCAUUUUAAGAUUAACAUUUACUGAAUUUAGUAUAUAUACACAUGCACAUCCAAAUGAAACAAGGUUUUCAACUUAGAGGCAAGCACUAUAAUCCAAGGUGCAACCCAUAACCAUUGCCAAAAACCUACUUUGCAGUACAAAGGAGAAUUUUGCAGCACCUUUUUAGGCCCUAGUUUGAAAGCACCAUUUUAGGCCCUAGUUUUAAAGUCCAUGUCAGAAAGAAAGGAAGAGAAGGGAAGAAAAUGAAUCCUACCAAGCUGGCGGGCUUCCUCCAG